rnacentral:sRNA from 1 species
GUGUUAUCAACCAUAACAAUGAUGAAUUCAUUGGUAAAAUAAAUC